ACCUGGGGGAUCUAUCUACUUGUCUUUUUUGUUUGUUUCUUUUAAAUUUUGAUAACCGUAUCAUGACAUAAUUUUUUUGUGUGUAAUUCUAUGCAUUUUAUUUUAUGCAACUAAAAACUAGAUUCUGAGAAAGGGCCUAUCAGCUUCACUAAACUGCCAAAAGGGUCCAGAAUAUAAAAAAAGAUGAAGAACCCCUGAGUCAACAGAUGAUCUUCCAAGGUCUCUUCUGGGUCUGGAAUUUGAUGAUUCUCUGAUUAGGUGACAUCAUAAAGGCUUCUACACCAGCCUCUGCUAGACAGCAGGUAAGUGGAGCUCAGUGGUAAGACAAAGGAGAUUUUUUUAUGUCCAAGAGAAAAGUUAUCUAGAUUCUAAAUAUAUCAAUUGUUUCUUCAUUCAUUUCUCUAAACUAGUCAACUCUAGUCCCUAAUUGACUGGACCUUCCCUUCUCCAGGGCUCAGACUCUUCUCCUAUAAAACUGAAGGGAUUGAUUUCUUAAGGCCUUUCCAUCUCUUUGUUUUUUUCAUGAUUGCUUGUGUUCAUCCAGGAGAUGAUCAAGUGUUAGGAAGACAAGCCUGAAAGAAGACUGUGCUGAAAAAAAAGUCACCCUCAUCCCUAGAGGCAGAGACUGGCAGAGUUGAUGCUCUAAGUUCUGAUGAGGAUGAAGAUACCAACAACCCUUCAGGACAAAACACAAAAGCUUCUGUCUUCUUCCUCCCUGCUCCCUGGUCUAUUUAGGCCUCCAAAGCAAGUUAACCAAGUU
rnacentral:lncRNA from 1 species